AGGUAAGAGCUUUCCAUUUCUUUUGGUCUUGUUUGCAUGCAUGAUGUUUUAUUUUGUUUGAUUAGUUUCUAAGUAUGUUCUUUCUUUUGUCUUAGGGAGUGUAUUAUCACUUUCGUGGAACUAUUUUGAAGGCGUUGUAGUUGAAAAAAAGUUAGAUCAAGGUAAGAGCUUUACAUUUCUGUUGGUCGUGUUUGCAUGCAUGAUGUUUUUUUUGUUCGAUUAGUUUCUAAGUAUGUGUUUAUCUUUUGUCUUAGGAAGUGUAUUAUCACUUUUGUGGAACUAUUUUGUCAUGUGAUAUGAACUACUAAGUUGAAGAUCAAGGUGGAAUUCGCUGAUAUUAUUCUGGUGAUAUAUUAUAUUCGGAAGGAUAUCCUUAUUUAAACCAGAGGUACUAUGGAAAAUUUGUUAGUGUUUUAUGGGCACAUCGUACGUGAGGGUCCUUCUGGUGUGGAUGUGUCUAGGUGCGGGAUGACUACGGUUGUAGUGAAAGACAUGGUUAAUGUAGAGUAUGCGGCAGUUA